rnacentral:rRNA from 1 species
UAAGUAACCUGCCCUCAUGAGGGGGAGUAACUAUUAGAAAUGAUAGCUAAGACCGCAUAGGUGAAGGGGUCGCAUGACCGCUUCAUUAAAUAUCCGUAUGGAUAGCAGGAGGAUGGACUUAUGGCGCAUUAGCUGGUUGGUGAGGUAACGGCUCACCAAGGCGACGAUGCGUAGCCGACCUGAGAGGGUGGACGGCCACACUGGGACUGAGACACGGCCCAGACUCCUACGGGAGGCAGCAUG